UUUAAAUUGAGAGUUUGAUCCUGGCUCAGGAUGAACGCUGGUGGCGUGCCUAAUACAUGCAAGUCGUACGCUAGCCGCUGAAUUGAUCCUUCGGGUGAAGUGAGGCAAUGACUAGAGUGGCGAACUGGUGAGUAACACGUAAGAAACCUGCCCUUUAGUGGGGGAUAACAUUUGGAAACAGAUGCUAAUACCGCGUAACAACAAAUCACACAUGUGAUCUGUUUGAAAGGUCCUUUUGGAUCGCUAGAGGAUGGUCUUGCGGCGUAUUAGCUUGUUGGUAGGGUAGAAGCCUACCAAGGCAAUGAUGCGUAGCCGAGUUGAGAGACUGGCCGGCCACAUUGGGACUGAGACACUGCCCAAACUCCUACGGGAGGCUGCAGUAGGGAAUUUUCCGCAAUGCACGAAAGUGUGACGGAGCGACGCCGCGUGUGUGAUGAAGGCUUUCGGGUCGUAAAGCACUGUUGUAAGGGAAGAAUAACUGAAUUCAGAGAAAGUUUUCAGCUUGACGGUACCUUACCAGAAAGGGAUGGCUAAAUACGUGCC
rnacentral:rRNA from 1 species